rnacentral:rRNA from 1 species
GAUGAACGCUGGCGGCGUGCCUAAUACAUGCAAGUCGAGCGAACGGACGAGAAGCUUGCUCCUCUGAUGUUAGCGGCGGACGGGUGAGUAACACGUGGAUCACCUACCUAUAAUACUGGGAUAACUUCGGGAAACCGGAGCUAAUACCGGAUGAUAUUUUGAACCGCAUGGUUCAAAAGAGAAAGACGGUCUUGCUGUCACUUAUAGAUGGAUCCGCGCUGCAUUAGCUAGUUGGUAAGGUAACGGCUUACCAAGGCAACGAUGCAUAGCCGACCUGAGAGGGUGAUCGGCCACACUGGAACUGAGACACGGUCCAGACUCCUACGGGAGGCAGCAGUAGGGAAUCUUCCACAAUGGGCGAAAGCCUGACGGAGCAACGCCGCGUGAGUGAUGAAGGUCUUCGGAUCGUAAAACUCUGUUAUUAGGGAAGAACAUAUGUGUAAGUAACUGUGCACAUCUUGACGGUACCUAAUCAGAAAGCCACGGCUAACUACGUG